CAGCAGGCGCGAAAACUUCACAAUGCGAGAAAUCGUGAUAAGGGAACCCCGAGUGCCCGUAAAUCCGGGCUGUCCGCCAGUGUAAAUAACUGGUGAAGAAAGGGCCGGGCAAGACCGGUGCCAGCCGCCGCGGUAAUACCGGCGGCUCGAGUGGUGGCCGCUAUUACUGGGCUUAAAGCGUUCGUAGCUGGGCUGUUAAGUCCCCUGGGGAAUCCACCGGCUCAACCGAUGGGCGUUCAGGGGAUACUGGCAGCCUAGGGACCGGGAGAGGUGAGGGGUACUUCAGGGGUAGGAGUGAAAUCCUGUAAUCCA
rnacentral:rRNA from 1 species